rnacentral:rRNA from 1 species
UACGAAGGGGGCUAGCGUUGCUCGGAAUCACUGGGCGUAAAGCGCACGUAGGCGGAUUGCUAAGUCAGGGGUGAAAUCCUGGAGCUCAACUCCAGAACUGCCUUUGAUACUGGCGAUCUCGAGUUCGGGAGAGGUGAGUGGAACUGCGAGUGUAGAGGUGAAAUUCGUAGAUAUUCGCAAGAACACCAGUGGCGAAGGCGGCUCACUGGCCCGAUACUGACGCUGAUGCACGAAAGCGUGGGGAGCAAACAGG